AGCUUUGUACAGUGGCAGUAUCGUAGCCAAUGAGGUCUGAGGCGCGAUUAUUGCUAAUAGAGUAAGUCUCAAAAUCAAGUAGUGUUACUCCUCCAACUUUGUUUUUUUAAAAAAA
rnacentral:snRNA from 1 species